UAGGGAAUAUUGCUUAAUGGGCGAAAGCUGAAGCAGCAACGCCGCGUGUGCGAUGAAGGCCUUCGGGUUGUAAAGCACUUUUUGAGGGGACGAGGAAGGACAGUACCCUCAGAAUAAGUCUCGGCUAACUACGUGCCAGCAGCCGCGGUAAAACGUAGGAGGCGAGCGUUAUCCGGAUUUACUGGGCGUAAGGCGCGUGCAGGCGGCUCGAAAAGUUGGAUGUGAAAGCUCCUGGCUUAACUGGGAGAGGUCGUUCAAUACUUUCGGGCUUGAGGAUGGGAGAGGGAGGUGGAAUUCCGGGUGUAGUGGUGAAAUGCGUAGAUAUCCGGAGGAACACCAGUGGCGAAGGCGGCCUCCUGGCCCAUUUCUGACGCUCAGACGCGAAAGCUAGGGUAGCAAACGG
rnacentral:rRNA from 1 species